AGCAAACUUCUGAUUUAUGCCAUGGUGAUUUUUGUCUGUAUUAGGGCCCCAGUGGAGGUACCAACAAUAUAGAUAUAGCAUCCUCGUGGUAGGGAAAUUACACUGAAAGAUGAAAGAUGUCAGAAAGUGAAGACAAAGUCAGGGUCUUCAGCUGCUCUUAUUUCUACAGCAUCCAAGAAUUCAUAUUAGACUCAGUCAAACACCUUGACUUCAUUUUUACUAGUGUGAAUAUCACUAAUUUGCAGUGAGAUUAGGGUUUUCAAAGGAAUUUGAAUUAUCUAUAAGCUUAAUUCAGUUUGCACUGCUCUGAUACUGCUGACACUGUCAAGAAUCUCACUGUGAGUGCUUACAAAAACCAGAGUGGAGAGUUCCUGUUUUCCAGAAGAAUUUUUAGGAUUUUGUAAGUAUAAUUAAUAACACAGAACUCAAGUGUCCUUGUCAUUGUCAUUAAUACAUUUAUUACUUUUGUUCAGCCAGUAGCGAUAUAGGUGCUAGAAUGAAUAGGAAGUUUGAAGAGGAAGUGUGAAAAAUAGUCUGAAGACAGCGUAAUGUUGAUGGUAAUCAUUAUGCUUCUUUACAGAGAAGAUGAAGAACUCUCUGCUGGCAGCUAUCUUUUUACUUGUUAGAGACUCCUGCCUCUGCACAGACUGGGACUCUCCGUUCUGCCGGCAGCUGCCAGGUGGGUGGAACGCUCGGCUCCCGGCGCGGUGCCCGGGCUCGGCGGGCGCUGAGGGCUGCUGACAGCCAGGGACCGCCGGCUCUCGGGAAACACGGCCCCUAAAAGCCUUUCCCGAGGGGAACACCUGGCCGGAGCAGCACGGGCAGGUGUGCCUGUGUGACCGCAGGGCGCAGGGCUAACCCGGGCGCUGUGAGUGAAGCCCGCUGAGAGCCGCCGCUCCAAAAGACCGCGGAUGCUCCAAUGUUCCUGUGUGACUGCUGUUUCUGCUUUCCAUUUAACUGGGAACUUACUGAUGAUGGCGAAAAGGAACAGUACAACACAUUUUGAUUGAGAGUAUUACAGAGCAGUGGGUGGUCAUCUGAUGUACUUUGUGCAGGAUUUAAUAUAGGCAGGAACAUCCUGCUUGCUAGCAGACACAGCAGAGAUGACAGGUUCUUGAGAACACCGUGACACCGGGCCAGACAUCUGCAGGAGGACUAUGUUCUUCUGAAAUUAGCCAUGGAUAAUUAUCUAGUCCUUGCAAUUAACCUGCCAGACUAAGCUCCACUAAAUCAUUAGUGAGAAAACCAGAUGCUCAGGAAGAAAAACAGAAAGUUCUAGAGUGAAAAAAAUUAAAGGUGGGUGGUUUGGGGUUUGGUUUGUUUGUUGGUUUGGGUUUUUUUUUUUAACUGGA
rnacentral:lncRNA from 1 species